rnacentral:rRNA from 1 species
CCUGGCGGCGAGCGGCGAACGGGUGAGUAACGCGUAGGAAUCUACCCAGUAGCGGGGGAUAGCCCGGGGAAACUCGGAUUAAUACCGCAUACGCCCUAAGGGGGAAAGCAGGGGAUCGCAAGACCUUGCACUAUUGGAAGAGCCUGCGUUGGAUUAGCUAGUUGGUAGGGUAAAGGCCUACCAAGGCGACGAUCCAUAGCUGGUCUGAGAGGAUGAUCAGCCACACCGGAACUGAGACACGGUCCGGACUCCUACGGGAGGCAGCAGUGGGGAAUAUUGGACAAUGGGGGCAACCCUGAUCCAGCCAUGCCGCGUGUGUGAAGAAGGCCUUCGGGUUGUAAAGCACUUUAAGUGGGGAGAAAGGCUCCUUGGCUAACAUCCAAGGGGAUUGAUGCUACCCGCAGAAUAAGCACCGGCUAACUCUGUGCCAGCAGCCGCGGUAAUACAGAGGGUGCAAGCGUUAAUCGGAAUUACUGGGCGUAAAGCGCGCGU